GAAAUGGACCUAUUCACUCCUGCAGAAGGUGCCCCGUCUCAUCACUGGGAAGUGAAUCUGGAAUAGUUUGGAAUUUUCAGUGGUGACUGCAGGGGAGCAGCUGGCAAAUGGAUUGAACUCAGGUCCUUGCACUUGCAAGACAGGCAAUGGAACCACUGAGCUAAAUCCCUGGCUUGAACUUCUUACUGUGUCCAUUUUACAAAGGGGCCUGCAGAGGUACAGAAGGCUACACACUCUGUGGUCAUCCUGUUCCACUGGGCUAUGUGAUAUGUAACUGUUAUCUCAUACGCUGUAUUCACUGAGGUACUGUUCAUGUGAGAAGCAGUUCUGUCACUGGAACUCUGGGUUCUCCAUCUGAUUGCACUGGGCCGGUUGGAUUCGGCCUGACAUUUUCCAUCAGGGUGAGUGAGAUACCAUAGUAACAAACGGUGCCAGCCCAUGCAUGGGGUUGUAGAAGACAUCAACCACUCAGGAGUUUGUAGAACUUAUUGUUUGACCUCUUAAAACACAGGAUCAGUUCUACUUUAAAUGACUUGCAUAAAGAGAAGGGUGUGUUUUGUGUUGUAAACAUUUCAUAUUUUGAGCUUUUGUUUUCACAGAAGAGCAAUUCUGUUUGGACUUGGAUUCAUAACUGAACACUCUGCUUAUAAUUUUAUCCCUUUGAACUUUUGGCUCCACACCUGCCCAACCGUGUUCUUCCUCCACUAUGGCCAUGUUUGAGGUGUUAGAUGAAGUCUUCUCAGAAAGCCUUAAUGAAAUGCUACAGCCUUGGUGGCUUAAACAACAGAAAUUUAUUGUCUUGCAGUUCUGGAGGCUAUGAGUCCAAGAUUGAGCUCGUGGCAGAUGUGGCUUCUCUCGAGGCCUCUCCUUGGCUUGCAGGUGGCCUGCCUCUGCCCGUGUCCUCACACGACCGUUGUCUCUGUGUAUGAACAUCUGGGUGCCUCUUCCUCCUCAAGGACCCUACUCUGUUGGAGUAAGGUUCUGUCCCUAUGGUCUUACUUAAUCUCAAUGACCUCUGCCGUGGCUUGGCUGCUGUUUGAAGCACAGAAGCAGGGUGUCCAGUGAGGUGGUGUUGGGAGGCGCUGGAACCCUUAAGAGGUGGGGCUGGUGCAAGGUAACUAGGUAUUUGGGGUGCAUUACCCUCCAAGUGGGUUGCUGUACUUCCUGAGAGCACAGUUGAUUUCCCCAAGAAUGAACUGCUAUGAAAGAGCAAGCCUGUCCUU